AGGACAAUUGUAUGGGUUAAAUUAUUUGUGUUUGCUAAGAAGGACAUACGCGUAUGUCCUCAUUAGCAAAUAUCAGGUAAAACCACUUGCUCCUUCAAAUGGUCGUUGAAGUUUAGGAGAAGCGUUCGUUGGCCUAUGAACCGAGAGGGAAAAAAGGUCAAAGUUUGAAGUUUGAAGUGUUGUAUAAUUAAUGGAGGGUAAUCGGAGAAAAGGAGAAGAAUGGCGCGUUGGCGGGCUUCUCUUACCAGCCGGUCCGAAGGGCGAAAAAAUAGCGAUUUUCCCGACACAGAUGGGAACAAAAGCAUGGAUAUCCUCACAGUAAAAUUAAGCAGGAGAGUUGAUGAAAAUGUUGGAAGUAAUGUUGAAAAGGAAAUGCUAUUGGCUCUACGAUAAAUUCAACACAGAGAAAGUUUAUCGGGAGUUACCAAGAGGGGUAACGGUACGAAUUUUGCCAAACCACUUCUAAUGGGUUUCUGGGAUCCCAUCAGGAGGAGAUACACCUGGUCGUCCUCGGCAAACGAAGGUCUGCCAAGAACUAGUAAAGCGGGUAAUUGUAAUUUUGAUAUUCAGAAAUCACCUAUGUUCUAUUCAUUCACAAUGACUAAAGUAUGUUGUAAUUUUGAUAUUUAGAAAUAACUAGUGUUCUAUUCAUUCACAAUGACUAAAGUCGGGAAAUCGUUGUCGUUAGGCCUGUGAUGAGAACAUAUCGUAACCUUGAUA